rfam:Schistosoma margrebowiei strain Zambia genome assembly, scaffold: SMRZ_contig0005967
GUCCAACUGAUAAGUCCCAAAAUAGGACGAAACAUACGUCUUGGAU